rnacentral:rRNA from 1 species
UACGGAGGGUGCAAGCGUUGUCCGGAAUUACUGGGCGUAAAGGGCGCGUAGGCGGCUCGGCAAGUAGGGUGUGAAAUCCUGCGGCUUAACCGCAGGGCUGCCUUCUAAACUGUCGAGCUUGAGCUCGGUAGAGGCAGAUGGAAUUCCCGGUGUAGCGGUGGAAUGCGUAGAGAUCGGGAAGAACAUCAGUGGCGAAGGCGGUCUGCUGGGCCGUUGCUGACGCUGAGGCGCGACAGCGUGGGGAGCGAACAGG